UUAGGAUACAGUGGCGGACGGGUGCGUAACGCGUGAACAAUCUGUCCCAAUGAGGGGGAUAACAUAUCCGGAAACGGGUGCUUAUACCGCAUAAGGACCCGGGAAUCGCAUGGUGCCGAGGUGAACGGAGAAAUCCGCAUAGGGGUGAGUUCGCGUCACCAUUAGAUAGUUGGUGGGGAUAGACGGCCUACCAAGUCUGACAGAUGGGUAGCCGACAUCUGAGAGGAUGACCGGCCACACUGGAACUGAGAAACUGGUCCAAGACUCCUACAGGGAGGCAGCAGUGGGGAAUAUUGCGGCAAUGGGCGAAAGCCUGACCCAGCAACGCCUGCGUGAGGGAAGAAGGCCUUCGGGUCUGUAAACCUCUGUCGCAGUGGGACGACGAAGGAGACGGUACCCUGCAAGGAAAGCCCCGGCUAACUACAGU
rnacentral:rRNA from 1 species